UAAUCGCAUCCGAGUGGCUACAAUUAACGUGGACCGAUAAAGACAACAAAAAAAAGUAAAAAUACCUCGACUGUUGUGAGCCAGUCUCUUCGACAUGGGAAGCCGGAAGUCAUGGGAAGUUUGUGACGUCAAAGAUUUAAAAGUUACUCGUGCAGAUAUAAAGAAAAGAUUCCUAGUUCUGCUUACUGGGAGACUGUCACGUGGCCAAGAAGCUGCGCAGACACUGAGAGAAGGCCAGAGAUGCAACACAGUGUUUUCCCAUUUGAGCGAGACCUGAAAAAACAAGUCACACAGAGCAAAGGAAGAAACCGGUGGAAGCAGGAUGAAACGGAGUAGGUAGGGAAUGUUAAAAAAAAAAAAGAAAGAAAAAGCAAAGG